UCGAACUUUAAUAGUGAAAGUUAUAAUCCUAUGUCAGUUUUAUAGUAAAACUUACGGGUGAUGGACUUUUAAACAUUCAGUUAUAUCAAGUAAAUCAUGGAGAAAACUUCAUUUUUAUUUUUGCUUCUGAUAUCAUGUGGAAGCGCUUUCAUCGUUGUACCUCAGGAGAUAACAACUUUAAUAGACUUUAUACUAAAAUUUUUACCACCAUUCAGAAAAGCAACGGAACAAUCUCGUAUUGGUUUCGGCUUCGCAUAUGGCAACCAUGCGGAUUUUCAAACAGUUGUACAAUUUGGCCCUGAUAAGGAGAAAAAGGAUGCAGGAAUCUGAAUCUGGUCACAAGGCACGAAUUAACCAAACCUGGCUGGAAACCCACGUUCCAAACUUUAUAAGAGCUGAAGACUGGUCCUCAUCUCGCCCAAACAUCCACCCUUUAGACUUCAAAUUAUGCUUUUUCAACAUCGAAACGACGAGCAACCGAAGAGGUAA